AUUGAACGCUGGCGGCAUGCCUUACACAUGCAAGUCGAACGGUAACGGGCCUUCGGGUGCCGAGAGUGGCGAACGGGUGAGUAAUGUAUCGGAACGUACCUUUCAGUGGGGGAUAACGUAGCGAAAGUUACGCUAAUACCGCAUAUUCUGUGAGCAGGAAAGCAGGGGAUCGCAAGACCUUGCGCUGAUUGAGCGGCCGAUAUCAGAUUAGCUAGUUGGUGAGGUAAAGGCUCACCAAGGCGACGAUCUGUAGCGGGUCUGAGAGGAUGAUCCGCCACACUGGAACUGAGACACGGUCCAGACUCCUACGGGAGGCAGCAGUGGGGAAUUUUGGACAAUGGGGGCAACCCUGAUCCAGCCAUGCCGCGUGAGUGAAGAAGGCCUUCGGGUUGUAAAGCUCUUUCGGCCGGGAAGAAAUCGUAUGGGUUAAUACCCUGUGCGGAUGACGGUACCGGCAUAAGAAGCACCGGCUAACUACGUG
rnacentral:rRNA from 1 species